ACGGGAGGCAGCAGUGAGGAAUAUUGGUCAAUGGGCGGAAGCCUGAACCAGCCAAGUAGCGUGCAGGAUGACGGCCCUAUGGGUUGUAAACUGCUUUUGUGCGGGAAUAAAGUGACCUACGUGUAGGUUUUUGCAUGUACCGUAAGAAUAAGGACCGGCUAAUUCCGUGCCAGCAGCCGCGGUAAUACGGAAGGUCCGGGCGUUAUCCGGAUUUAUUGGGUUUAAAGGGAGCGUAGGCCGUGCUUUAAGCGUGUUGUGAAAUGUAGGCGCCCAACGUCUGCACUGCAGCGCGAACUGGAGCACUUGAGUACGCAGGAAGUAGGCGGAAUUCGUCGUGUAGCGGUGAAAUGCUUAGAUAUGACGAAGAACUCCGAUUGCGAAGGCAGCUUGCUGGUGUGCGAUUGACGCUGAGGCUCGAAAGUGCGGGAAUCAAACAGGAUUAGAUACCCUGGUA
rnacentral:rRNA from 1 species